GUUGUUUGAAAAUAAUUUUUUUUAAAAUUAUUGAUUGUCUUUCCCUGUUGAAUUGGUUGUCCUUUUGGACGGUUGAUUCGCCAGGGGAUAGUCAGUAAUUUUUAAAAAGACCUUUUUUAAAAUUAAACUUUGUGUAUUCAUUUGUCUAAAUUAUUUUAUAAUAUAAAAACAACUUUUGACAAUGGAUCUCUUGGUUCUCGCAACGAUGAAGAACGCAGCAAAAUGCGAUAUAGUAGUGAAUUGCAGAAUACGUGAAUCAUCGAAUCUUCGAAGCAUAUUGGCACUUUUUUAGUUUACUAAAAAAGUAUGUCUGUUUGAGUAUCAGUAAAAUAUUCUCAUAAAAACUUUUUUGUUUUUAUGGUUAUGAGUGUUUUACAACGAUACAAGCUGUUUCACUUUAAAUUUUUUUAAAAAUUUGAAUUUUUUUCUAAUUUAAUAUAAAAUUGGAUAAAAUUUUCCGUAAAAGGAUAACCUAAACAAUUUUAUAAACUAUUAGAUUUUCAAAAAAAAGGAAAUUUAUUAAAAUAACUUGAUCUCAAAUCAGAUAAGAGUACCGCUGAACUUAGCAUAUCAAUAAGCGGAGGAAAAGAAACUAACAAGGAUUCCCUUAGUAACGGCGAGUGAGCGGGAAGAGCUCAAAUUUGAAUCUUCAAGGUUUUACCUUGACGAAUUGUAGUUUUAAAGAAGUGUUUUCUGUUGAAGUUUUGGUAAAAGUUCUUUGGAAUAGGACAUCAUAGAGGGUGAGAAUCCCGUAUUUGACCAUUAUUUUCAGCUGUGUGAUACACUUUCAAAGAGUCGGAUUGUUUGGGAAUGCAGUCCAAAAUGGGUGGUAAUUUCAUCUAAAGCUAAAUAUUGGCGAGAGACCGAUAGCGAACAAGUACCGUGAGGGAAAGAUGAAAAGAACUUUGAAAAGAGAGUUAAACAGUACGUGAAUUGUCAAAAGGGAAGCGUUUGACACAGUGUUGUUUUCUCGAAAAAUCAAUUAAAAAGAGUUUGAUUUUGUGUUGUAUGACCUUAACAGCUUCUUUCAUUUUUCUGCUUUUUUUAAUGCACUUUUCGUUUAACAAGUCAACAUCAGUUUCUUUUGUUGUAAAGGGUCAUUGGAAGGUGGCUUCUUUUCGGAGAAAGUGUUUAUAGCCUUUGAUCUCUGCAAUCGGAGAGACUGAGGUCUGCAGCGUAGAUCCUUCGGGUUAGAUACAUUUGUGCUAAGUUAUAACUUUUCAUAGACAACUUGUUGACUAUGUUAGUCAUGUAGCUUACUCGCUUAUGCUAUUUACCUACGCUUAGGAUGUUGAC
rnacentral:misc_RNA from 1 species